ensembl:lncRNA
AAUUUCCAAGGAAAGAGGGGAGAAAAGUCACCUCUUGGUAAUAAAAUAUGUAAAGAAGAUGAGUUAAGAUUAGUGUGAAACUUAGCCACAUGCAUAAAUACUGCAUGCAGGAUUUGGGCUCUGUGAAGGUGGAGCCACCCUCAGAAAGCCAAGAGAGGUGCCAUGCUACAGCUUAGCCUGAAAAAAAGGAAGGCAGAAAGAGAGGAAGUAGCAGUCAAGCACCUUAUCAUGCAAGGCUUGAUUCUCAAAAUGCAUUACCAGGAACAGCAGCCUCACCAUCAUCUUCCAGCUUACUAGAAAUGCUCAGGACGCUUCAGAACUAAAGAGAAGAGCCUGCAUUUUACCAAGCCCCUGAAGUGAGCUCAUGUGCACAUUAAAGUUCGAGAAGCCCUGCCAGAGGGAGCUGUUGUAGAUAAGACAUGAUUAGCCUUGAACUUGUGAUCCUCCUGCCUCAGCCUCCUGAGUACCUGAGAUUACAGGUAUCCACCACUAUGUCCAGCCUAAGCAC